UUACUAGAGUAGCACUCGCAUAUCAAUAAGCGGAGGAAAAGAAACUAACAAGGAUUCCCCUAGUAACGGCGAGUGAAGCGGGAAGAGCUCAAAUUUGAAAUCUUAAAGGGUUUCCCUUUACGAAUUGUAGUUUAAAGAAGUGUUUUCUGUUGAGGUUUUGGUAAAGUUCUUUAGAAUAGGACAUCAUAGAGGGUGAGAAUCCCGUAUUUGACCUUUACUUUCAACUUUGUGAUACACUUUCAAAGAGUCGGAUUGUUUGGGAAUGCAGUCCAAAAUGGGUGGUAAAUUUCAUCUAAAGCUAAAUAUUGGCGAGAGACCGAUAGCGAACAAGUACCGUGAGGGAAAGAUGAAAAGAACCUUGAAAAGAGAGUUAAACAGUACGUGAAAUUGUCAAAAGGGAAGCGUUUGACACCAGUGUUGUUUUUCUGAAAAUCAAUUAAAGAACUGUUUAUGCUAAGUUGUUUAGACUUUAUCAGCUAACUGUUUAGUUUUGAGCUUUUCUUUAAUGCACUUUUCAGUUAACAAGUCAACAUCAAUUUCUUUUGCUGUAAAAAAGCUUGAGGAAGGUGGCUUGAGAUUCGUCUUAAGUGUUUAUAGCCUCUUGCCUAUGCAGUCGGAGAGAUUGAGGUCUGCAGCGUAGAUCCUUCGGGGCUAAAUGCAUCUGUGCUAAGUUAUAGCAUUUUAUAGACAACUUGUUGACUAUGAUUUGUCUUGUAGCUUACUCGCUUAUGUUAUUUUACCUACGCUUAGGAUGUUGAUCUACAGAGCGAGAGU
rnacentral:rRNA from 1 species